UUUACAGCUUGGCAAUCCAACGGUUCAAUCAAAAGAUACGCGAAGAGCAAGAUGUCCCGUAAACCAGCCGGCGAGCGUUUCCACCCGCGGCCAACAGCGCAAUCCUCGCGGUCAGAAGCACCGUGACCGCGGCCAGCAAGCCAUUCCCUGCGGUCACAGCCAUCCCGACCGUGGCCAGCCAACUCCAACUUUGAAGGCAUAUUUCUGAAGCCCGUAUCACUUUCCCAGCCUCAAUUCCGGAACCCUAGACACCAGAGAGUAUUGGAG
rnacentral:lncRNA from 1 species